rnacentral:rRNA from 1 species
AGUGAACGCUGGCGGCAGGCCUAACACAUGCAAGUCGAACGGCAGCAUAGGAGAGCUUGCUCUCUGGGUGGCGAGUGGCGGACGGGUGAGGAAUAUAUCGGAAUCUACCCUUUCGUGGGGGAUAACGUAGGGAAACUUACGCUAAUACCGUAUACGAACUGAGGUUGAAAGCGGCGGACCGCAAGGCGUCGCGCGGAUGGAUGAGCCGAUAUCCGAUUAGCUAGGUGGCGGGGUAAAGGCCCACCAAGGCGACGAUCGGUAGCUGGUCUGAGAGGAUGAUCAGCCACACUGGAACUGAGACACGGUCCAGACUCCUACGGGAGGCAGCAGUGGGGAAUAUUGGACAAUGGGCGCAAGCCUGAUCCAGCCAUGCCGCGUGUGUGAAGAAGGCCUUCGGGUUGUAAAGCACUUUUGUUGGGAAAGAAAAGCGGUCGGUUAAUACCCGGUCGUUCUGACGGUACCCAAAGAAUAAGCACCGGCUAACUUCGUGCCAGCAGCCGGCCGUAA